GUAACUGAUAAAAUUUUACAUUCACUUAAAAAAUGGUCACUAUUUCCUUCUGUACUACAUAGCUUGUGUCCACAAUUUGUCUUUUACCUAUUUUCGGGGAAACAUAAAGAUUACUUAUAGAAUUUAGUAGUUCUUUGGAAUCAGAUUGUUUCCUGCCUUCCAGUUUUCUCAAGUGCACACCGUGUGAACAGAUGUGCUGGAAAGCUGUUUGCUGGUAAACAAACAAAAGGAAAGGAAGAAUGUAGUGUUCCCUGAAUGUAGGCUCUGCGACAGUUUUAGGAAAACAAUUUUAAGAUGUGUAAUCAUAAAGUAACUAGGUUUUUUGAUAUAAAAAAAGCCAAGACCUAGGUACAGACUAGAGUGCAGAGUAUGGUAUUGCCAACCCAUCUGCAUCUCUAAAGGAUAUUUACAAUCUAAAACCCGCUUUCCAGAAAGCUAGGCAAAGUUUCAGCUUAGUUUACUUUUUAUAUAUAAUAUAGACAGAGAAAAUAAAUAUUAACCUCACAGUAAAGGACUCAUCUCUGAAAACACAUAGUCUGUUGCUUUAGAUAACAAAUUAAGACAAUACAGAACGAAUUCACUUCAGUUGUGCUUACACAUAUAGUUUGGGAAGCUUUGCGGCCAGCUUGUUAACAGGAAAGUGUUACCGUCACAUCCACAUUGCUUCUGAGCUUUUCUCAUGCCCCUCAGGACCGUAGUGGCUGCUCAAAUAUGCAUUACUCCCUGAUUUUAGGUAGGAGCCCUUUGGAAGUCAUGGUAACUUGCUCAGGCUGCAACAUAUUCAUACAUUAAGACGAUCGUCUGCCAACCUGCUAGGCUGAAACAUGGAAGUGUCUCUAUUCACCUGCACCUACCAUUUUAACUGUCAAAUCUGAUUACUUCAUGUGACUUGCCUUGCUGCAUCCUGGAACCUGGAAACCAAAGGAGUUGUCAGGGCCCUGGGAUAUGAGUCAGAACACUGUUAAGAUCACGACUGCAUUCGCUUCUGCCUGGAAGGGAACCGUGACACAGGCAGGUAUGUCUUGCAGCGAGGGACACGAGUGAACCUUCUCUCCUUUCUCUGUUUCCAAACUAGCUUUGUCAUCUGUAAAAGUGCUGUAAACAUUCCUCUCAACGGAACAGCCUCUGCCAACAAAUAGAGUUCUCGCUCUUGAAAGAAACUUUGAGUUCAAAUGUGGCACACUGUGGACAUGAAUGCGUGGCAACCGUGACUUCCUGGGUCAACACCAGUCAGCCGAGGGACAGUAUCCUGCUGUCCGCCAUGAAAGACCCUUGUUGCUGGGAUAGUCACCGCCGAGACGGGUACUUGGAAGCCCAGUCUGUCCGGCCGUGCACUGGCUGGGCGGCUGGAGGCCGGGGUUUCAAGCCAGGGGUGCUUCUUGGCUGAGUGUGGAAGAAAGGUCGCCCAGGAAGGGGUCUCACGGCCUUCAGGGAAGAAUAGCCUGCAACAGAAGAGACAGGGUGGCCUGAUUGACAGGGGACCUAAGCAAGCCAGGCAUAGGUAAAUGAAUCGUGGUGACAAAAACAUCUUACCCCCUUCUUCUUAUCCUUUCCUACUUAGUGCCUGUAUCAACCAACCACCACUCUCACCCCAGCUAGAAUCCUACUUGCAACCUGUUCCCACAUGGUCUAACAACAACGAGCAGGUUGGAUGAGCCUGUGGCUGACAGGUCAAGGUUCUCCUCUGCCUCAAUCCUUUCAGCAGCUCCUGUCAGAGUCAGCCGAGAAGCCUGCAUACAGGGGCCUCAGACACAACCCCAGGUCUCUCGCCACUCCACCUCCUCUUGUAACUCCUGUCUCACUCGAGCCCCUCCUGCAUGCUAACCCCCUUGCCAUUUCUUAGCGCCGUGAGGCCUGCCUGCCCCGGAGCCUGUGCGCUGCAGAAGCCACAUCUAGAACAGUCUCCCCCACACCAACUGCACGAUCACUUGCCCCCUUCAGAGCUCUCCUCAAUGACUCCUUUGCAGUGAGCUAUUCUUUGGCUUUUCUGGCUAAAAUCACAAUCUGUAGCUCACACUCCAACCCCCACAAGUGCUACCUUCCUCCUGGUUUAUUUUUUUCUUAACACUUAUGAGCAUCUGACGCUGCUUUAACUCCAUCAUCAUCUGUACAGAGCAAGCUUUCCCAGGGAAGUGUUCUGUCUGUCUUGUGCACUGACAGAUUCUGGGUAGAUGCCUGAAGAGAGCAACUGUUUGGUGUGAGGUGUCUAGCUGCCCCCCUAAAGUCUCUUCCAGCACAGGUGGGGCUUUUUCAGAGGUAGCUGGAUCUAGAGUGUGUGACACUGGGAUUGAUUUACAGUGCAGGAUCAAGGGCACUAGGAUAGAGGGUAUGAAUGCUACCUGCCCUAAGUAGCUCCAAUAAAAUGAAAGGGAUAGAAAGAACUGUGGUUCCCCUUGUAGGUUUUGCUGUCUUCUGUUUGCCACAAACUGUUUCUUUGCAGUUCCUUUCUGCCAAGUCACUCUGCCUUUGAGCCUGCUAAUUCUGGACUGAAACCUCUACAAACUGUGAGCCAAAUAAACCUUUCCUCCCUGAA